GGAUUAGAUACCCUGGUAGUCCACGCUGUAAACGAUGAUCACUAGGUGCUCGAUUUUCGGAUUGAGUGCCCAAGCGAAAGCGAUAAGUGAUCCACCUGGGGAGUACGUUCGCAAGAAUGAAACUCAAAGGAAUUGACGGGGGCCCGCACAAGCGGUGGAGCAUGUGGUUUAAUUCGAUGAUACGCGAGGAACCUUACCUGGGCUAGAAUGCCUCUGCCACCUUCCGAAAGGAGGGGUUCCUUCGGGACAGAGUGCAAGGUGCUGCAUGGUUGUCGUCAGCUCGUGCUG
rnacentral:rRNA from 1 species